GGGCCCGUGGCGUAACCAGGAUCAGCGCGGAAGGCUUCGGACCUUCAUGUGCGGGUUCAAAUCCCGCCGGGCCCU
rnacentral:tRNA from 1 species